rnacentral:rRNA from 1 species
UGUUCGUUACUAAGGGCGCAUGGUGGAUGCCUUGGCAUGCUGAGCCGAUGAAGGACGUGUAAGGCUGCGUUAAGCCUCGGGGAGUUGUCAAUUGAGCGUUGAUCCGAGGAUGUCCGAAUGGGGAAACCUGGCCACCGUUAUGGGUGGUUACCCUUCAGUGAAUUCAUAGCUGUUGUGGGGGUUACGCGGGGAAGUGAAACAUCUCAGUACCCGUAGGAAGAGAAAAUAAUAAUGAUUCUGCUAGUAGUGGCGAACGAACGUGGAUGAGGCUAAACCGUGUGCAUGUGAUACCUGGUAGGGGUUGUGUGUGCGGUGUUGUGGGCCCUAACAGGCAGUAGCUACCGAUACUGUGCUUGGUUGUUGUUGAUAGGUGAAGUGGUGUGGAAACGCCUACCGUAGAGGGUGAUAGUCCCGUAAUUGAAGUCUUCAAUUUCUAAGUUGUUGGGUUGCCCGAGUAGCAGCGGGCUCGUGGAAUCUGCUGUGAAUCUGCCGGGACCAUCCGGUAAGCCUAAAUACUCAGUGUGACCGAUAGUGGAUGAGUACCGUGAGGGAAUGGUGAAAAGUACCCCGGGAGGGGAGUGAAAUAGUUCCUGAAACCAUGUGCUUACAAUCCGUCAGAGCACCUGUAUGUGUGUGAUGGCGUGCCUUUUGAAGAAUGAGCCUGCGAGUCAGCGGCAUGUCGCGAGGUUAACCCGUGUGGGGUAGCCGUAGGGAAACCGAAUCCUAAUGGGGUGAUUUUUAGUGGCAUGUCCUGGACCCGAAGCGGGGUGAUCUACCCAUGGCCAGUGUGAAGCAGCUGUAAGAGGUUGUGGAGGCGCGAACCCACGUAGGUUGAAAACUGCGGGGAUGAGCUGUGGGUAGGGGUGAAAGGCCAAUCAAACUCCGUGAUAGCUGGUUCUCCCCGAAAUGCAUUUAGGUGCAGCGUCGCAUUAGCUUGGUGGAGGUAGAGCUACUGGUUGGUUGAGCGGGACUACAAUCUUAGCAAUGUCAGCCAAACUCCGAAUGCCAUUAAUGUGUUGUGCGGCAGUGAGACUGUGGGGGAUAAGCUUCAUAGUCGAGAGGGAAACAGCCCAGAUCGCCGGUUAAGGCCCCUAAGGGUGUGCUAAGUGGAAAAGGAUGUGGGAUCGCGAAGACAGCCAGGAGGUUGGCUUAGAAGCAGCCAUCCUUGAAAGAGUGCGUAAUAGCUCACUGGUCGAGUGGUUUCGCGCCGACAAUGUAGUGGGGCUCAAGCACACCGCCGAAGCCGCGGCAAUACUUUUGUUAUUGGGUAGGGGAGCGUCGUGCAUGUUGUGAAGCGUUACCGUAAGGCGGCGUGGAGUAUGUGCGAGUGAGAAUGCAGGCAUGAGUAACGAAUUGGUAGGUGAGAAUCCUACCCGCCGGAUGACUAAGGGUUCCUGGGUCAAGUUCGUCUUCCCAGGGUGAGUCGGGACCUAAGGCGAGGCCGACAGGCGUAGUCGAUGGAUAACCAGUUGAUAUUCUGGUACCCGUAUACAUGCGCCCCUGAUAAAGCACUGAUACUAACCACCGCGGAUACGACACUUAACUAACUUUGUUGGUUGGUGUUGUUGAUGUCGUGGGGCCUGAUGUGUGGUUCAAGCGAUGGGGUGACACAGUGGGGUAGCCAAGCCGCUUAAUGGAUUGUUGGUGUAAGCGUGUAGCCGGAGGCAUAGGUAAAUCCGUGCCUUAAUUGAAGGUGAGACGUGAUGCGUAGCCCGAUUGGGGUGAAGUUGGUGAUCCCGUGCUGUCGAGAAAAGCCUCUAGCGAUGUAUGUAUAUGGCCCGUACCCUAAACCGACACAGGUAGUCAGGUUGAAAAUACUAAGGCGUUCGGGUGAACUGUGGUUAAGGAACUCGGCAAAAUGCCCCCGUAACUUCGGGAGAAGGGGGACCACAUACCGUGACAAGUCCUUGCGGCUUGAAGCGGUGUGGGGUCGCAGAGAAUAGAGGGAA